GUGUACACUUGCUUCAGCUCCUGAAUGCAUCCCAGCUUGGUAAUACAAGAAACAUCACAAGAAACAUAGAGGAACGAACAUUACAUGCUUUCCGUAGUUUUUUAUUUGCGCCGCACUGUUGUGCAUAUUCUCGGGAAAAAUCGGGGGAAUUUUCAUGUCGGCUCAACAUGAAACCAGCGCGGAAACUCGGUAAAAGCGUUGGUGAUAUGGCGCCGCCGUGUAAGCAAAAAGGAUUUCCGCAACGCUUCCAGCACAUUCAUACCAAAUGUAGUAUUUUUCUUUCACUGCUACAAAGACUGCUGAAAAUUUUUGCCCACACAUUGUAUACCUCACAUGUGAAUAAAACCCAAUACACCUUUCUGAAUUUGGCCAAAAAUCUCGGUUAAAAUAAUAUUAUUUAUGGCUUGACACUCGUUUCCCAAGUAAACCUUCAUUCAUAUAAAAAUACAAAUAAUAAAUAAAAAGAUGAUAUAAUU